rnacentral:rRNA from 1 species
AUGCACGCUGGCGGCAUGCCUAACACAUGCAAGUCGAUCGGUAAGGCUCUUCGGAGUACACGAGAGGCGGACGGCUGAGUAACGCGUAGGAACACACCCUGCAGUGAGGGAUAAGACACCGAAAGGUGUUCUAAUACCGCAUACGGUCUUCGGAUUAAAGCAUUUAUGCGCUGAAGGAGUGGCCUGCGUCAUAUUAGAUAGUUGGUGAGGUAAUGGCUCACCAAGUCGAUGAUGUGUAGCUGGUCUGAGAGGAUGAUCAGCCAGACUGGAACUGAGACACGGUCCAGACUCCUACGGGAGGCAGCAGUGAGGAAUAUUUCACAAUGAGCGAAAGCUUGAUGGAGCAAUGCCGCGUGCAGGAUGAAGGCCCUCGGGUUGUAAACUGCUUUUAUAAGAGAAGAUUAUGACGGUAACUUAUGAAUAAGGGACGGCUAACUACGUG